CCCUUAGACGUCCUGGGCCGCACGCGUGCUACACUGAUACGUACAACAAGGUAUAUGCAUUCAUGCAUCGAUGCUGCUCCGAAAUAGACACAGCUAAAUCUUCUAAAAUACGUAUCGUGCUGCGGAUAGAUCGUUGAAAUUAUGGAUCUUGAAGGUGGAAUUCCUAGUAAGCGCGGGUCAUCAACCCGCGUUGAUUACGUCCCCGCCCUUUGUACACACCGCCCGUCGCUCCUACCAAUUUCGAGUGGCUCGGUGAACCUCUUUGGACUGUCGAGCAAUCGCGAAAUUAGAGUGAACCUGGUCACUUAGAGGAAGGAGAAGUCGUANCA
rnacentral:rRNA from 1 species